CAGCGGAAAGAUCUGCGACAGUGGCUUAUCUGCACUUUGGUUCAUAUUUUGCAUUCAUUCUCUGAUAUACGUUCUUGGCAAAACGUAUGAUCAUUCGACUGUGGCCUAAGUUACAUAUUUAAACACGUGUUAACUUUACACGAUUAUAUAAUCGCGAUCUGCGGCCAAUUAUUUAGCCAGGCGGUUAUUAAUAUUAUUAAGUGAAUUUGUGAGAGUGAGUGCAAGGGAUCCGCAAAGAAAGGCGUGACGUUAUACGUAUACCCGUAGACCCCACCAAGGGAGUCUUAUCCUACUUUAGGCCGGUUACAGUCUGAACGUCUUAGGCCACCCAAUCCCAAUUGCCUAAGCUCCUAUUUGCCCAAAUUCUUGGUAAAAGUAGCCCAGUGGAGAACAUAACCUCGGCCGGCGUGCUGACGCAACCACCCACGUAUGUUGGCAAUUGGGCACCAACAGUUGAAGGCAGAUGUUAUUCAAAUCACCUUACUCAACGCGGGAACAACAACACAUCUAGUGCCACCCAGCGCCAACUUGGAUCGUGCCGCCGCAAGGUGCAGCGAAGGCACCCAUACAUUGGUCGUGGACUAGGGACAGACUAGCCACCACCAAAGGCUUCCCCCGGCGGACACCGUCCGUAUCAAUCUAUUUGCAUUUGAAAGAAGCUCUCUGAUUGGCAUGAGUGCGGUAUUUUUAUAGGUCAUUAAAUGUAGGUAUUAUUAUAAAUUUUGACCAACAGCUCCUCAACGUCAACUUGAACUUGGGCCCAACUUUGCAACGAAAAAGAAUACUAUUGAACACAAAAUGAAAAGGUAAAACUUAUGUGUUAGGAAAUUCUUGAAUUUUGUAUAAAUGAAAUCAAUGGAAAGUAAUGUGGAUAAAUAUAACUAUAAAUGAAUUAUAGGACUUGUUUAAAAAUGAAGUUUGAAUAAAUAAUAACCAUGGUCUGUCGAGUA